UCCCGAUUAAUUCAACGGUUAGAAUGUUGUGCUUAUAGGAUAUCCAGCGACGCAAUAAUCCGAGUUCGAUUCUCGGAUCGGGAA
rnacentral:tRNA from 1 species